UCUAUGGAAAGCCAAAGGGGACCCCCGCUAAAAUACAUAUACUUAUAUAGUAAAUAUCGGGAUUGUCAUUUUUCGCGGAACUUUCACUUUCCGCGAAAAACCAAUGCCAGCAUGGCCAUAAAACACUACAUACAAAUCGAAAUCUAAAAAGCGCGGAACUUUCAUAGAUUUUCCGUCGGAGCAAUUAUUUUUCAACCCUGUAGAAAAAGCGGGCUCAAUUAAUCGCGCGGAACGUUAUUUAUCUACUCUGUACAAAUAGUAGUGUUUAAAAUCGCGCGGAGAUUGUAGAAUGCUAUUUUAAGAAGUCUAUUAAAGAGAGAAAAUCCAGUAAAUACCAGAUCCAAAAAGCGCGGAACACAAAUAUCGUCCGCGAAAAUUAAGCAUUGAAUUACUGUACAAAUCUCGGGUUGUUAGGUGUUAGAAUCCCUAGUUACCCGAAAAAUUUGAUUGGAUCCGAUACUUAGAAAUAACCAAUCAGAUACUUUGUAACAAAUGCAACACAAUCAGUGCGUUCAGUAAGUAUAACGUUUCAAGAUGGCGGAGCGAAUUGCAUGGUUAUUGUUACAAUUACGAUGGAUUCGCAGAUAAUUCGGAAAUAGAUCAGAUUGGGAUCAAUAACUGUAUUGCAUACGAUCAUUUACAUGUAUUACCAGGUGUGUGUUGCCAGUAAUGGUUGAAGAUAUGCCAAACAAAUUGUGCCUCUCUCUAUACAGACAGAUUUCAGGUCUCAAUUUCGACUUCAAAGGUCAACAUAUCACUGAUAUCAGCUUUGUCAGCUAUUGGAAUUCUGUACAACUGUGGAACCAUGUAUGGUACGUGACCGCACAAUGUUGGUUGGCAAAAGGAUAUUGGAAUAAGCAAAGGGACUCAACAUUACACAGUCAUUUCAACAUGUAGAGUCUUGUCAGCAAUGAUGGAGCAGUACCUGGUACUUCAGAUUUCCAGAAUCUCGUCAUGAGCUGAAGAUCAUUGCCUAUGAAUUUCAUGAAUGAUGUAGAAUGAUUGGACUGUUGAUGGAACCCACAGUGCAUGUCCUGCUUCAACAUCUGAGCAUAGGUCCUUGUUUAUCAGCAGUUUAGUUCUUCAAGCAGUCUGUGACAGUAACUUGAAAUGUUUGGACAUAUGACCUGGAUGGCCAAGUUCUGUGCAUGCAGCCCAUUUAAAUAGGAACGGCCCAGUGGCGCAUUAAAUGGACAUUUUUCGAAUGUUCUCGAGGAUUCAGCUUACCGCCUGACAAAAAAUCUUGCUUUUUGUUCAGUAUCGAGGCCAUGGACAUUUGUAUCAUUUGCAAAAGAUACUGCGAUAUUUGUGCCUUUGUUCAUGCUUUAUAGUUGAUUAACAAUUGGAAGCCAUAACCUGUUUUAUAGGAUGGUGUUAGUGGGACAAUGAAUUUUGUAAAGAUUUAAAGACUGGAAAAGAUAAUUAAAAGUCAAAAGAGUUCUGCUAUUGUUAAGCAUGCUUUAUUGAUUUGUAAUGUUAGAAAGAUAGCAUUAUUAACAGAAUAAAAUGUCCAUAAUUUGAA